UGGCUCAGAGGGUAAAGCAUCUGCCUGUGAUGCGGAAGACUCAGGUUCAAUCCCUGG
rnacentral:tRNA from 1 species